UACGUAGGGGGCAAGCGUUGUCCGGAAUCAUUGGGCGUAAAGAGCGCGUAGGCGGCCCGAUAAGUCCGCUGUGAAAGUCAAGGGCUCAACCCUUGAAUGCCGGUGGAUACUGUCGGGCUAGAGUCCGGAAGAGGCGAGUGGAAUUCCCGGUGUAGCGGUGAAAUGCGCAGAUAUCGGGAGGAACACCAAUGGCGAAGGCAGCUCGCUGGGACGGUACUGACGCUGAGACGCGAAAGCGUGGGGAGCAAACAGG
rnacentral:rRNA from 1 species